rnacentral:rRNA from 1 species
AUGCCAGCCAAGAUCUUCCAGAUCCUCUCCACCCUGCCACCGUCAUUGCAGGAGGACUUUAAUGAGUGGUCACCAAGAAGCUGCCCCAACUCCUACAAAAGGCUCAGGUUAGAUGAGCCGCUGACAAAGACACACCUCUAUUCUGAAUUUUUACAUGCGAAGAUGGACCAUCAGCUACGGAAUAUGUUGGCUAACCUCUCACAGGUUGCUAACAAUUUUUUUCUUAUUGUCAUCUUGAUGAUGGCUACAAAUAUGGACACCUAUAUACAUAUGGGUUGUUUCCUCCGUCAAUGCCGUCCUUUAAUCCAGUUAAUGAUGCUGAAGUUUUCAAUGGCUUUGGCACCGCAUACAUAUGGGAUGUUUCCUCCGUCAAUGGCUCAAUGA